GUCUGUUCCUAAGCAUGAAGGAGGACCACAUGAGGAUCCUGGACACCUACUGCAUGAAUGUAUUCACCCUUUCAGGUCUAGGGACCUGCAUCUCCUGGACAGUCAGCCGAGUGUUUCCAUGAUACCAGCCAUACCUGAUGCCAGGAGACUCGCUACACUUGGAAGCUCUUCAAGGCAUGCUUAUCUUUGUGAACUGAAUCUUGGAGAAGCAGGAUUGAAAAUAAGAGCUAUCUUUGAGGCUCUAGCACCUACAAGAGACACCCUCCCUCUCCACCGUGGAUCACCUGUCUCACCCGUGUGAGUCUCCACACAGAAACCAGUCAUGGCCCUGCCUUUGCCCCCCUUGAAAUCACCCAAGAGGAUGCUUCAAACUCAGGUUUAACAUCCUCCCAGGAUGUCAACUGGAAGAUCAUGCCGUUCCUGACAAUUAGAAGUUUAGAGAGUGAGGUGGCUGGAGAUACAGCACGUUGAUUAUCUGUGACACAAUCAGUCAGAAGCAGGACCACAUGAAUUCUCCAUCAUCAAACAAAAUGACUGGCUUUCUGUGUGAUUCUUCACACUGUGAAUGCAGCUACUAAUAACACUGAUUUUACUUCAGGCAAGAGAAACAGAGCCUCUCAUUUUCCU
rnacentral:lncRNA from 10 species